rnacentral:rRNA from 1 species
ACGAGCUUCUAGCUUAAAACCCAAAGGACUUGACGGUACCCCACCCUACUAGAGGAGCCUGUUCUGUAAUCGAUAACCCACGAUAUACCAAACCAUUUCUUGCCUCAGCCUGUAUACCUCCGUCGUAAGCUUACCCUGUAAAUGCACUUAGUAGGCUCAAAGGCCCAACACCCAAACGUCAGGUCAAGGUGCAGCCUAUGAAAUGGAAGCUAUGGGCUACAAUUUCUAACUUAGAACUAAUCAAAAUACUAUAUGAAACAUAGUCAUAAAGAAGGAUUUAGCAGUAAAUAAGGAAUAGAGAGCCUUAUUAAACCUGAGCUCUGGGGUAUGUACACACC